rnacentral:snoRNA from 1 species
GCAUCAAAUGAUGAGACCUUAUUACUUUUUCUGGUACCUCUUAUGUUAGGGCUCCUCUGAAGCAAUUCGGAGGACGCCCCAUGAAUUCAUCGGACUUCUGACA